GGAGCCUGCGGUUUAAUUGGACUCAACGCCGGAAAUCGUCGACCGGGGGCGACAGCAAUAUGAAGGUCAGGCUGAAGACCUUACCCGAUUAGCUGAGAGGUGGUGCAUGGCCGUCGUCAGUUCGUACUGUGAAGCAUCCUGUUAAGUCAGGCAACGAGCGAGACCCACGUCCACAGUUGCCAGCAUACCCUCCGGGGUGAUGGGUACACUGUGGAGACCGCCGCUGCUAAAGCGGAGGAAGGAGUGGGCAACGGUAGGUCAGUAUGCCCCGAAUCUCCCGGGCUACACGCGGGCUACAAUGGUUGGUACAAUGGGCAUCUACCCCGAAAGGGGAAGGAAAUCUCUUAAAGCCAAUCGUAGUUCGGAUUGAGGGCUGCAACUCGCCCUCAUGAAGCUGGAAUCCGUAGUAAUCGCGUUUCAACAGAACGCGGUGAAUACGUCCCUGCUCCUU
rnacentral:rRNA from 1 species